rnacentral:lncRNA from 1 species
AUUCUGGAAUGUUGUAGUAAUGCUUGUGCCUUUGAGUUGCAGUGUGGCCAAAUGUACAGGACAAAACACAAUUCGAAAAUGAACUCCGGCAUUAUUCUGGGAAAGACAAGGGGAAUCUAUGGAAGCUGGUCAUUCUUCCUAGCUCAGACCUGGAGUAGGAUGAUUGGGCUUCCCAAGGGUGGCAGCACCAGCAAGGCUGGCAGCAACUAUCUCCUGUGGAAAGUCAAGCACAUCUUUACGGAUUGCUUACUCUGUGCCAGGGAUUGUGCCCUGGGGAUACUAUCUUGUCAUCAUAGUCACAUCUACAUCUUUAUUAAAUGUUUCCGUCAGUCCGUGCUUGCUGGGUGCUCCAAGGGAGUUAACUGGAGUCAACAGUGGCCUCCCUGAACUCUGUGGAAAAGACAAUUUGCAUACGCUUCUUCUAUUACAGUGUUCAGUGUUUGGAAAUGAGCAGUCUUGCAUUGUUAUGCAAACUCCAAGGUACAGCUGAAGGACUGUGGCCAGUAGAUUCACAGUUGUGUGAUCCUUGGAUUUUUAGAUCUACCAGGCAGGCAGUGGUAAAGUGCAUUUUAUCACAGUGUGUCCAGGAGACAUUUGAUGGAGCAGAACCCAGCUCUCUGCAUCUGAGCCGGAUCUCCUUGCCAGAGCUCUGCAAGAAUGAUUUUUUGUUUCCGCCCCCAUGUUGGCAAGAGAGUCUCAGGCAUCUGAAUGCAGCAGGACAGGACACAUCUUGUAAAGAAUCUCCAGAAAGGAACACAACCCUUCCGACACCUUGAUUUUAGUCCAGUGAGAGCCAUGUUGGACUUCUGAUCUUCAGAAUUGUAAGAGGUAGAAAGAAAUCGAUUGCUUUGGUUUUCUGAUAGCACAAACCUGGCUGCAGAUCUGAAACAGAAUGAACUGGCAUUAGAGUGAUAGCAGGCCAGCCUGCCAACAGCACCCUUUCUCAUGACAGCAAGCUAAUGCUGGAAAUGGUCAGGACAAAGGUCUAAGUUUGUAAUCAACUGCAAACGUGGACUCUUCCAUUCGGAUAGCACUUGUUCUCCUCCAGCUGAAAGAAAAGGACAAGAAUGGAUGUUUUCUUAGCAACUACAGUGCUGGAUCAUCACAUAUCUCAUCUGAUCUUAACACAAGUACUCUGUGAGGAAAGCUUAAUGACUCAACAAAUAAAUUAUCUCUUCAAUAACUCAAAAUGGGGAGGCUUCAAGGAAUUUCACAUAACUGACCCCUGGAUACAUAAAUAUAUUAAGUUCCAAGGCACAUAUAAAAUGCCUACAGAUCUCAACAAGAAAACGGGAUGUUUCUCUGCUAUCAGCUAAAGCUGCUGUGACCAUAAAACGAAAAAAUCACCUAUUGUCUCCUUGCUCAUAAAGAAUGCCCACUAAAAUUGGUCCAGUAUCUUAUCUCUCCAUCCAGACAGUGCUUGUUGCUAAAUACACAGCCUGUUUUUACAGUCUUCACUGAACUCUGGUUUCCGCCAUUUUCAGUGGGGGGAAAAUUUGUAUGAAAAGUUCAUAAGUAAUGUGCAAAUGGGCUAUAUUUUUGCAACUUGCUUUCAUUGUCAUCUGGGAUCCAUCGAGAUUCUUCUGGGGAGACUGAACACCGUUCUGUGCUGCUAGUCUGGAGGAGUGAGGAGAGAAAGCAUGACCCUACCACUUGGAUGGGAGUUUCUGACAUUGCAAGGGCAAAGAUUCUGAACAUCAAAGAUAUCCUUGAUCAUAGAUCUUUGAAAGCAACUCUAAAACUUUCAGAAUGGACAAAAAGAGGCCUUUCCCAUCUCCACUGAGUCCUGAGAAAUAAGAUGUAUAUUUGAGAUGCAGCAAGAAAGACUUUAGAUUCUUAACUUUUGGGAAGGUCACAUACCCCUUUGAUAAUUAGAUAAAAAUUAUGAACAUUUUUCACAGAAAAAAUAUCCAUAAAGACACAUACAUAGAAUUUUGAAAACUUGAG